rnacentral:rRNA from 1 species
GAUCGGUGGUGGUGGCUCGGGAUCGUCGUUUCCCUCACCACCGAAUAAGGUGCCGCGUAGAGGUGCGCACGUCGUCGCUGGGGCCCUCCUCGAGUUCGGCGUUGCUACCAGGUGGCGCGGCCGCGGCAGCAGCUGGCCGUCACCUCCUCGUCGCCGCCGGUUGCCGUCUAGCCGCACAGUACCCUCGUCUGUGCCGCCGACAGUGCCCGUCUCGUCUCGCUUCAACCGUACCGCCGAUCCGCCGACAGGCCUGACCUAGGGCGGUAGUGGUGGUCGGGCGGAGCAAACAGGCACAGGUAGAGCCGCUUUGGUUCCCAGACGGAGCACAGGACGCUCCACUGUGAGGUGGCGGUGGCGAGACGACGAAGGCGGGAUGUGAAGCGAGGGAGGCCACGGUAGGAGUGGAGGCUGUUUUUCCUGGAGAACCUGCAGUAACGUGUACGACCGGAGAAGGCUGGGGCACCGGUGGCACUAGUCCAUUAACUAAAACACAAGGACCUAAGCCCAUUCUUCGAUCACUGGACGAGGUUCCUGUUCCAAUAGACCCAAACCCUGGAGCUGUGUAUUGUGACGGAAGUUUAACAUUCCACAGGUAGUGUAGUUCUAUACCAGCUACCUACAACUAAGAUCGCUCUUCAAAAACCACAGACAGAGCCGGCUAGUUCUCGACACCCACAAGUUUUAGUCCGUUAGUCGACUUGUCCCACUUCUAACCUUGUUUACCCUACGUGAAGUGGUAACUAGAUAACACUAAGGAAAAGGGGAAAUUAUUGCACAUGCAUAUCCCAUCAGUUCGCGGUGUCCUAUAGUUGAAAACAACACCUAUUCUCACCCUACUAGUUAGCCUAACGGCCCCAUCAUGUUGUAACUCAGUAACCGUCAACCCGAGUUGUUCCUGUUCCGCAACAAGUGGUAUCCCCAUAAUCCUUGUCUCUUUUAUGAGUGUGUUCCGUACCUCGUCGAUGUUUGAACAAUUACAAUAUGUCGCUCGUCGAAGGGAACGCGGCAGUAGGUAGGUGGUUGUUCAGGUACUGGUACGUAGUCCAGUAUUUUUUUGAGUUUUUAAUAAAGAAUAGUUAUACAAAGUUUAUACGAAGUCAAGAUUUAAACAAGGGAAAAGGGAAGUAAAAAGGUUCUUGACAUGACAAACCGUAAUCAUCUAUGAAGAUGAUUCC